ANGCGGNGCUAGANUGCAAGUCGAACGGUCCAGUAUUUUUUGUUUACAAAUUUUGCUGGAUAGUGGCGAAAGGGUGAGUAAUGGAUAGGUAACGUACCCCAUGCUUCGGGAUAGCGUCUAUUCACCUUCGGGUGAAUUUCCGAAAGGGGCAGUAAUACCGGAUAAUAUCAACCGUCGAUAGUCGGUUGAUCAAAGAUUUAUCGGCAAGGGAGCGGCCUAUCUCCUAUCAGCUUGUUGGUGAGGUAAUGGCUCACCAAGGCAACGACGGGUAGCGGGACUGAGAGGUUGGCCCGCCACAUCGGGACUGAGACACUGCCCGGACCUCCACGGAGGGCUGCAGUAACGAAUCUUGCGCAAUGGGCGAAAGCCUGACGCAGCGACGCCGCGUGUAGGAGGAAGUCCUUCGGGAUGUAAACUACUGUCAGGGGUAAGAAAGUGCGCUUCGGCGUAUUGAUCUAACCCAGAGGAAGUCACGGCUAACUUCGUGCCAGCAGCCGCGGUAAGACGAAGGUGGCUAGCGUUGUUCGGUAUUACUGGGCUUAAAGCGUGUGUAGGCGGAAAGGUCAGCGUCUUGUGAAAUCCCUCGGCUUAACCGAGGAAUUGCUCGGCGAACUGCCUUUCUUGAGGCAAGUAGGGGUGCAUGGAACUCUUGGUGGAGCGGUGGAAUGCGUAGAUAUCAAGAGGAACGCCGGUGGAGAAAUCGGUGCACUGGGCUUGUCCUGACGCUGAGACACGAAAGCGUGGGUAGCGAACGGGAUUAGAUACCCCGGUAGUCCACGCCGUAAACGAUGCCUACUAGGUCGUGGUGGUUCUGACACCAGCACGGCCGAAGCAAAAGUGUUAAGUAGGC
rnacentral:rRNA from 1 species